AGAAGACCCAAGCCAACCCUCCCCACCUAUCCCAUCGUCUUCCUGCUCCGACUCCAGGCCACGAGCUGCUCCCCGCCAAUGGCUCCGCCCCGCGCCUCCUCGCGGCUAUGCCACCGGCGAUGUGCGCCGCCCCCGGCCGCGCGUCGCUUUCCCCCUCCCGGCAACGCGCCGCUUGCCUCCUCCCGCCCACAUGCCCCAGCGACUCCUCCCUGCUCCACUCCCGACGAGUCGCGCUGCCCUGGUCACGUUGGGACAUGGGAUAGGUGGGGAGGGUUGGAGUUACACUCCAUAGGGUGAUGGCAGCUCGCCGCCUUAAAUCCAGGAGGGGGCGACCUGGACCACGCACACGUCCUCCAGGGGUACAUAAUCGUCCAAAUCUCGCGUUGUUUAUUUUGGGCUCGAUGCUUGCUGGUUUGAUUUGGGGUUGUCGUGUUUGAGGGCGCUCAACUUGGUCAGCGUCCAAUCCUGGCCGGCCUCAACUUCCAUCGUGCAGUCGCGGUCGUGCGGCCGUGACUGUUCCUCUGCUGUCAAUCUAUGAUGGCGGUCAGUCAUGGGGGACAACGGCUAGCUAUCUUUGGAUUGAUGGCGUGAACGUGGGCUCUACAGGAUACCGAGGAGCGUGAGGUUGCCCGUGCCUCCAGCCCCUUGCCAGGAAAACUGAUUGUGUGUGCAAGAGACAUACAGACUUUUCAAAAUAAAAAUACGUUUUCUCCCACUCCUCUUUUGGGAUUUGAUUAGUGCUAUGUUUCUGAAGCCUAGGAAGAGAUGGAGAUUGCUGUUGAAGAUGGUGAAGAUAAGGAAGAUGGGGAUAUGCACAGCUGACACUAAAUACCAUUACAAUCAGUAUUCAUUGAUUUAUGUGUAUGGUUGCGCAAUUAUGCAGAUUUUCUGUGAAGAUUAGAACCUUUUAUUUUAUUCAGGGAUUUGUUAAAAUUUCUGCCAUGUAGCAGACAGCUUGCAUCUCGGUGGAUACAAGGUGCAAAGUGUGAGACCGUGGGGAUGGCAUGGUUGCAACUUGCAACGUGAACACCGCUCCUACUUAUUCUGAUGGAAGGUGAGUUGGAAUAAGAUUUACAUGUGCAAUGACCUAGGAUUAUGCAGAUAAUGGAAUUUGAGUUGGUGCGGAACAUGCACUCUAAUGAAGGAUGCUAACUUAUUGUCCUGAGGAGAGCUGCUGCUACCAUUGACCGGAAUGAAGACAAAGGAUCAAUUUAGGUGGUGAAUGGAAGACUUAAUUGGAGCAACCUGUAUAGAGCCAAAGAACAACGACAGUAAGAAGUAGAUUUCCUGUUCGUUUACAUGGGGCACUUCCUCUCUAGCCUUGAACAAGAUUUCAUCUGUUUUGUCAGACCAAAAGCUGUAGAAACUAGAAAGAACUCUGGUAAUCUGUCAAAGCUUACUUGGCCUGAAACUAUUUAUUUUCUCUUUAUCUUUGCAGGAUGAAGGAUUUAUCUUCUUCUUGCCUUUUUAAUUUUUCCAUGUAUCAUGUUACUCGUCAAAGCGAAGCAAUAAAAAAACUCCAGCAACAUACACUGAAAUUGUCACUUUUAAAAAGGAACGGGCAGAAACCAUGGUGUGGCUUGGUGGGUGCGGACGUCAAAUUGACCAUUAAUUAACACCCAGCACCUCGAUCCAGAUUUCUUUCAUGGAAAAUGGAAAGCCUGUCAUGUGUACCUCUAAUGCAAAAAUAGGCAAGCACACGAGAAGAAUUGAUCGAACACGUUCUCAGCCUGACUGCCUGAGUUAAAUAGUACAUCCAUGAAAGCUGUCAAAUCAUUUUGUUUUAUUAUGUUUUUUCUCAUUAUGUAGCGAACUAGCAAUAUAUUAUGCUUUUUCCGUUUUGGGAUGUCCCCGUGUUCUUAGGCCAUGUGUACAUGAUUUCCGUUUUGUAUUCACUUCAGUUUAUCUGCCUGGUCAUCUAGAUGAUUUUCACAUAUAUUUCUUUGGCAAACUGCAGCUGGGAGCGGUGUAUAGGAUGUUCAGUGUUGCAUGUUCUGAUGCCAGAUAAUGUUCAGUUGAAAGAGAUGGCUAUGAGGUGCGUGCAAGUACAAGCGUGAAAUGAGGCGGUGUCUCUGGCGGAAUGGCAAGAUGCCCAGUCUGAUGACCUAGGUCUGUGGCAAGUUGAUGGACCUCGACUAUAGGAACAUCACCGAGGCAAUCGAUAGUAGGUUGCUCAAUUGCUAACACAACAUGUUUUGAAUUGUAAAAUUAAGUUUGUUUUUUUGUUUAUUUUUUCUGACUGAAAGUGCCAGUUGGUGUUGUUGUAUAACAUAUUUUGAAUUACAAAAUUAAUUCUCUGGUUACACGCA